UUUUACAAUGUUCUUGUAAAAAGAGAAAGAUCUGAUAUCCAGACUUACUUUCUUCCAAAACCACUCUUAUGGUAGCUUUUUUUAAAAAACAAUUAUUUUUUUUUCUUCCAGAAACUCCCACUAACCUAUCAGUGAUGAGGAGGUAAAGUGGCUCCUCUGGAGGACACAAAUUCUACCAAAGCCAGCAAAAUUGCCAUCAGGAAGGUGCAGCCUUACAGCUAGUUACUCCGGUCACUAGGGAUGUGACUUUCUGUGAAGUAGUGAAGGACAACACCUCCAUGACUGAAAGUAUAUGCCGUCUGCCAGCCCAGCACCUGCCUUCUGGCAGAAUCCCCAGGACCUUAACCUUCAGAAGCCAAAAUAUCUGACAGAGAGAACAUUCUCCUCUUAGUGUGUAAGGAAGAUUCUCUUCUCCCUUGUUGCAGGAUGACACAGCAGAACUUCUCAGGUAAUUCUGCUUUGCUUGAGUACUGGUGAUGUCAUGGUGCAGACCUGUGAAGUUCUCACAUGAAAUACAGGCUUUAUAGAAGCGCAGAAUGCAGGCAGCUAAGGGCAUUUGUAAAACUCUGUACAAGCCUAUGGAUAUACCCAUCUUUUUGGGAUAGUUAAUGUAAAACUUGUCAUACAGUAAAAC
rnacentral:lncRNA from 1 species